UACGGAGGGUGCGAGCGUUGUCCGGAAUCACUGGGCGUAAAGGGCGCGUAGGUGGCGACCCAAGUCAACGGUGAAAGCUCGACGCUCAACGUCGAGUCGGCCGUCGAUACUGGGUUGCUCGAGCACUGUAGAGGCAGAUGGAAUUCCGGGUGUAGCGGUGGAAUGCGUAGAGAUCCGGAAGAACACCGGUGGCGAAGGCGGUCUGCUGGGCAGUAGCUGACACUGAGGCGCGAAAGCGUGGGGAGCAAACAGG
rnacentral:rRNA from 1 species